rnacentral:rRNA from 1 species
AAAGGAAUUGACGGGGGCCCGCACAAGCAGUGGAGUAUGUGGUUUAAUUCGAAGCAACGCGAAGAACCUUACCAGGUCUUGACAUCCAACUAACGAAAUAGAGAUAUAUUAGGUGCCCUUCGGGGAAAGUUGAGACAGGUGGUGCAUGGUUGUCGUCAGCUCGUGUCGUGAGAUGUUGGGUUAAGUCCCGCAACGAGCGCAACCCUUGCCAUUAGUUGCUACGCAAGAGCACUCUAAUGGGACCGCUACCGACAAGGUGGAGGAAGGUGGGGACGACGUCAAAUCAUCAUGCCCCUUAUGACCUGGGCUACACACGUACUACAAUGGCCGUCAACAGAGGGAAGCGAACACGCGAGUGGGAGCAAACCCCCAAAAGCGGUCUCAGUUCAGAUCGCAGGCUGCAACCCGCCUGCGUGAAGUCGGAAUUGCUAGUAAUCGCGGAUCAGCAUGCCGCGGUGAAUACGUUCCCGGGCCUUGUACACACCGCCCGU